UACGUAGGGUGCAAGCGUUGUCCGGAAUUAUUGGGCGUAAAGAGCUCGUAGGCGGUUUGUCGCGUCGGCUGUGAAAGCCCGGAGCUCAACUCCGGGUCUGCAGUCGAUACGGGCAGACUUGAGUGUUGCAGGGGAGACUGGAAUUCCUGGUGUAGCGGUGAAAUGCGCAGAUAUCAGGAGGAACACCGGUGGCGAAGGCGGCUCUCUGGGACGGUACUGACGCUGAGACGCGAAAGCGUGGGGAGCAAACAGG
rnacentral:rRNA from 1 species